GAUGAACGCUGGCGGCGUGCCUAGUACAUGCAAGUCGAGCGAACGGACGAGAAGCUUGCUUCUCUGAUGUUAGCGGCGGACGGGUGAGUAACACGUGGAUAACCUACCUAUAAGACUGGGAUAACUUCGGGAAACCGUAGCUAAUACCGGAUAAUAUUUUGAACCGCAUGGUUCAAAAGUGAAAGACGGUCUUGCUGUCACUUAUAGAUGGAUCCGCGCUGCAUUAGCUAGUUGGUAAGGUAACGGCUUACCAAGGCAACGAUGCAUAGCCGACCUGAGAGGGUGGUCGGCCACACUGGAACUGAGACACGGUCCAGACUCCUACGGGAGGCAGCAGUAGGGAAUCUUCCGCAAUGGGCGAAAGCCUGACGGAGCAACGCCGCGUGAGUGAUGAAGGUCUUCGGAUCGUAAAACUCUGUUAUUAGGGAAGAACAUAUGUGUAAGUAACUGUGCACAUCUUGACGGUACCUAAUCAGAAAGCCACGGCUAACUACGUG
rnacentral:rRNA from 1 species